rnacentral:rRNA from 1 species
GAUGAACGCUGGCGGCGUGCCUAAUACAUGCAAGUCGAGCGAACGGACGAGAAGCUUGCUUCUCUGAUGUUAGCGGCGGACGGGUGAGUAACACGUGGAUAACCUACCUAUAAGACUGGGAUAACUUCGGGAAACCGUAGCUAAUACCGGAUAAUAUUUUGAACCGCAUGGUUCAAAAGUGAAAGACGGUCUUGCUGUCACUUAUAGAUGGAUCCGCGCUGCAUUAGCUAGUUGGUAAGGUAACGGCUUACCAAGGCAACGAUGCAUAGCCGACCGGAGAGGGUGAUCGGCCACACUGGAACUGAGACACGGUCCAGACUCCCACGGGAGGCAGCAGUAGGGAAUCUUCCGCAAUGGGCGAAAGCCUGACGGAGCAACGCCGCGUGAGUGAUGAAGGUCUUCGGAUCGUAAAACUCUGUUAUUAGGGAAGAACAUAUGUGUAAGUAACUGUGCACAUCUUGACGGUACCUAAUCAGAAAGCCACGGCUAACUACGUG